rnacentral:rRNA from 1 species
CACGUAGGCGGUUUUUUAAGUCAGAUGUGAAAGCCCCGGGCUCAACCUGGGAAUUGCAUUUGAAACUGGGGAACUAGAGUGUGUGAGAGGGGGGUAGAAUUCCAGGUGUAGCGGUGAAAUGCGUAGAGAUCUGGAGGAAUACCGAUUGCGAAGGCAGCCCCCUGGACAGUGACUGACGCUCAUAUGCGAAAGCGUGGGGAUCAAACAGGAUUAGAUACCCUUGUA